UACGUAGGGACCAAGCGUUGUUCGGAUUUACUGGGCGUAAAGGGCGCGUAGGCGGCGCGGUAAGUCACUUGUGAAAUCUCUGAGCUUAACUCAGAACGGCCAAGUGAUACUGCAGUGCUAGAGUGUGGAAGGGGCAAUCGGAAUUCUUGGUGUAGCGGUGAAAUGCGUAUAUAUCAAGAGGAACACCUGAGGUGAAGACGGGUUGCUGGGCCAACACUGACGCUGAGGCGCGAAAGCCAGGGGAGCAAACGGG
rnacentral:rRNA from 1 species